rnacentral:lncRNA from 1 species
GGGGGGGGCUAGGAUGAAAAAUCUUGUCCUGCAUUUUUUUUUAGUUUUAAUCUCUGUCCUGCCUUUUUAUUUUUCACUUUAUCCGGUCCUGCUUUUUUUUUUCUUAGUUUAUCCUGACUUUUUUUACAUAAAUUGUCAUCCUGACUUUUUUUGCAAGUGUCUCAUCCUGCUUCUUUUUUUUUUAACUCAAAACUCCUGUCCUGCCUAUUUUUUUUCAAAUUUCAUCCUAGCACCCCCCCC